rnacentral:misc_RNA from 1 species
AACCAAAGAUCCGCCCACGCAUACACAAAAGCGCCACCGACACGGACGUGCCGACGCCAAGCUCCGCCCGGAGAGCCGUCUCUUGCGUCCACAGCACAAGCAGACACGCACUCAACAGAACGGCGAAUCCGUUCCUCAAGCGGCGCGCCAUGCACGUCGCUCGCUCCGCGUAUCGCCAGCUGCUACGCGUCGGCAAGACGGUCUCGGACAAGUACGCUGACCCGAAUGACAUGUGCUUUGCUCUCUUUGGCGUUCUGGUGAGCCGGCACGACUUCAUCAACGCCGGCUAUGGCAGCACCUUCCCCGCUAUUCUGCGCACCUGCUUUCUACGCCCGUCCAUCGCCGGCGACCCGCACGACACGGCGAGCGCGCGCACGAGCGCUGCCUUUGAUGCCCUUCGGCGGCUGAACGAGCUGAAGGCGUCCAACGCGGCAUUCCGCAUUCGCGAGCUGCGGCGGGUCAUGUCAGACGCGGCAGACCAGGGUAGCGCUAGCAACGUCGCAGCCGCAUCCGCAUCGACGGAUGCCACACCCACUCCCUUGCCCUCUUCGGCAGCUGCGGGCCAAGCAACGGCGCCGUCCUUGCCAUUUGCGUCGCAGGAGACGGCCCACACCACCGCUGUGACGUACCCACUCGACGAGGAAGGCGUUCACCUCAUUCGUGGCAGCGUCCUGAUCGAGCGCUCCUCGCGACGCCGCAUCCAGAACUUCACGCGUCACUGUGUCGUGUGUGAGCCAAUCAACAUGGCCUUCCCGCCAUACCGCUUCUGUGUCCCGCCGGAGCCGUCCUACCUACUCGCCGUGCGCAGCGAGUUUGCCCUGUACGCCAUCACCGAUGUGCUCUUGGCGCUCUCGGCGACGAGCAUCUUCAAUGCACAUCGGCAUGCCUACAUGUCCCAUCAACAGCAGCAGUCCGCCGAGGUCGGUCAGUCGUUGACGAACAGUGGAAUUCGCAUUAGCGCUGGUGACGAGGUGACCGAGGACGCGCCAUCAAGGCAGGAGGAGGCUGGCAACAGCAGCAGGAAGGCGAAAGGCGUCAUGGUUGCGACAGCACCGGUACUGAAGACGCGCGGGUUUCCCACCACACGUGAAGAGCUGCAGGAGCUGGUGCGCCGAAUUCCGACCCGGACGGUCAUCCAGACUGACGUGCUUGAGGUGGAGAUUACAACUGAGUACGUCUGCUCUAACCCGUCGGCGGCAACGGCAGCGUCGCCGUCGGCGGCCGAGCACCUGGCCAAGCAGAGCAGGGACGGCGCGUUCUCGUCGACGACGCCGCUGAAGCACGGCGCGAACGCUGAUGGCUGUGGUGGCAGCGCCUCCGCCAGGACCGCGGUGCAGCGCGACGAUGCCAAGGCGCACCUGUUUCUCUACUACGUGUAUAUCCGCAACCGCGGUCCGCUGAAGAAUCCCAAGCGGUGGCACGCGCAGGUGCUGUCGCACCACCUCGUUGUGAUUGACGCGGCACAGGCACAAGUACUGGAGAUGGGUCGACCUGGCGUUGUCGGCAACUUUCCGCUGCUGCAGCCGGGCGCGUCGCACUGCUUCGAGAGCGGCGCGACCCUUUCCGGCCCGGAAGGGCUCCUCCGCGGCUCCAUCCAGGUAAACCUCUUCAACGACGCGGGUGAGGUGAUGAUGCUCGACGCGGCGAUCGCGCCGACACGGCUGACGGUGGAGGUGACAAGCGCCAUCGGCUUCACCUCUUCCAAGAACGCCAAGGAGGAGCUCGUGCAGCGGAACCGGGACUCGUCUGCGCAGCCGCCGUCGGGCGCACGCAUGCCUGAGGAUGGCGCCGAUCGGGAAGGAAAGCACUCACUCUCCGCGGACGGGGCCGCCGAGGCGUCGGAAAACGACCGCGACAGCUCCUCAAAGCCGAAGGGUGGCAAGUAAGGGUGCCAGCUCCGCCUGCUUACUCCCCAUCGACAACACCUCUCUCUCGAUCUCUGCGUUUAUGCCGCUUCUCCCACCUUGGCUGCGUGGCCUGACCUCGCCUCUCCCCCCUCCCCUCUUUCUUACUGCCGGUGCUGUUUGCAUGUGCGAGGAGCACACAUGUGGAUGCUGCUGCUGCUGCUUCCUUGUACUGGUGCUCUCUGUGUGUGUGUGUGGGCUGGGAGGGGAGGGGAGGGGAAGUGAAGGCUCGCCCCGUUUACUUUGUGCUGUUCGCCAUCACCAUCUCUUCUCCUUUCUGUUUACAGACGACGACCGUG